rnacentral:sRNA from 1 species
AGGAUUACCCCAAUGGCACCUGGCUGGGCGAUGAGAACAACCCAGAGAUGCGGGUGCGCUGCGCCAUCAUCCCCUCCGACAUGCUGCACAUCAGCACCAACUGCCGCACAGCCGAGAAGAUGGCACUCACGCUGCUGGACUACCUCUUCCACCGCGAGGUGCAGGCCGUGUCCAACCUCCUGGGGCAGGGCAAGCACGGGAAGAAGCAGCUGGACCUGCUCACCAUCUAUGGCAUCCGGUGUCACCUUUUCUAUAAAUUUGGCAUCACAGAAUCUGACUGGUACCGAAUCAAGCAGAGCAUCGACUCCAAGUGCCGCACAGCGUGGCAGCGCAAGCAGUAGGGCCAGAGCCUGGCGGUCAAGAGCUUCUUGCAGAGAAUGCCCAACUCAUCCUCCUACUGCCCCUCAGAGCCGAUGAUGAGCACCCCACUUCCUGCCAGGGAGCUCCCGCAGCCACAGCCGCAGCCGCAGGCCCUGCACUACGCGCUGGCCAACGUGCAGCAGGUGCAGAUCCACCAGAUCGGAGAAGACGGACAGGUGCAAGUAGGACACCUCCACAUCGCCAAGGUGCCGCAGGGAGAGCAAGUCCAGAUCACGCAGGACAGCGAGGGCAACCUCCAGAUCCAUCACAUGGGGCAGGAUGGUCAGGUGAGUGUCCCAGUCCCCAUGCACAUGCG